AUUUCAUCUUUCAGUUAGUCAUGCUUUAACUAUGUUUUGGAUGGAAAGGUUAUUGUUAUAAUGAAAUUUUUCAAAUGUGACUUCUUGUAGCUCAUGCCUUGCCUAUGUUCCGUGAGCCCCGCCAACGGAGUACAAGGAAACAGCUGGAGAAGGACAGAUUGGAUCCCCUGAAGUCGCAUAAACCUGAACCUCCUGUAGCAGGCCCAGGUCGUGGUGGCCGAGUUGGAACCCACGGGGGCACUCUCUCUUCCUAUAUUGUGAAGAACAUUGCUUUGGACAAGACCGAUGACAGUAAUCCUCGGGAAGCCAUUUUGCGUCAUGCCAAAGCAGCAGAAGACAGCCCAUAUUGGGUUUCUCCAGCAUAUUCCAAGACUCAGCCCAAAACCAUGUUUGCCCAAGUUGAAUCUGAUGAUGAGGAAGCAAAGAAUGAGCCAGAAUGGAAAAAACGUAAAAUUUGAAGAAUCUCAUUUGAGAGCUGUUUGCAUGAGUGGGAGGGGUAUGGGACAGGUUUGGGUUUUUUUUUUUUUUAUGCUCAUGAAAUUAAAAAUUCAUUUUUAUG
rnacentral:sRNA from 1 species